GACAGAGGGUGCAAACGUUGUUCGGAAUUACUGGGCGUAAAGCGCGUGUAGGCGGCUUUGCAAGUCAGGUGUGAAAUCCCACGGCUCAACCGUGGAAGUGCAUUCGAAACUGCGAGGCUAGAGUCCUGGAGAGGAAGGUGGAAUGCUUGGUGUAGAGGUGAAAUUCGUGGAUAUUAGGAGGAACACCCGUGGUGUAGACGGCCUGCUGGACAGUCACUGACGCUGAGGCACGAAAGCGUGGGGAGCAAACAGG
rnacentral:rRNA from 1 species